AUAUAUAUAUAUAUAGAAAGAGAGAGAGAGAGAAACAAAAAAAAUAAAA
rnacentral:ribozyme from 15 species